UACGGGGGGGGCAAGCGUUGUUCGGAUUUACUGGGCGUAAAGGGCGCGUAGGCGGCGCGACAAGUCACUUGUGAAAUCUCCGGGCUUAACCCGGAGCGGCCAAGUGAUACUGUCGUGCUCGAGUGCGGAAGGGGCCACCGGAAUUCUCGGUGUAGCGGUGAAAUGCGUAGAUAUCGAGAGGAACACCUGCGGCAAAGGCGGGUUGCUGGGCUGACACUGACGCUGAUGCGCGAAAGCCAGGGGAGCGAACGGG
rnacentral:rRNA from 1 species